CUCGGGGGGCCGGAGGGAGGGAGGCUGCGGACGAGUGCGGGGAGGAGUUUGCGGUGGGAGGCGCUUGCAGGGGCUCCCCCAGUUCUGCGCCGUGAGCCCGGGCACAAAGAGCCCUCUGCACUGGCGCCGCAGGACCGCGGACCCGAGUUUGCAGAGAGCUUACUUUACGCCAGCAACGUGUUUAGUGCUUUGCACGCAUUACCACCACAGUCCCACGAGGAGCUAAGAACCCCGUUUUAGAGAUGAGGACGCUGAGAUCCGGAGACGGUUAGCAGCUGGAUGCAUCUCCCAGCCCACCCAUGGGAUUCCAGACAUGUCUACGUGACCAUCACAACCCUACCAGCGUCGAAGGAGUAACCAAGGUGACCCUUCUGUGCACCCUUGGGAUAACAGAGACCAGCCCCAUGCUAUGAAAUCCAUUGGUGUGGAAACCUCCUGACUCUCAGAGGUUUGUCUUUUCUGGACAUUUCACAUAUAUGGAGUCAAACAGCACGCAGUCUCAUGUGCCUGGCUUCUUUCAUCUUCGAGAGUAGAGCAAGGUCCUGGGACAGAGGAGAGAGGAGGGGAUUUCCGAAUCUUCCUGAACAUUCGUGACCGCCCUGGGGAAGCAGCCUUGCAGAUAAGUAUUCCAACUUACCUGCCCGCAGCCUAUCUGCCUGCCCUCUUUCGGUCUGUGCAGGAAAGUGUAGAACCUCAGAAUCCCACGUGGGGGUGGAGGUGGAGGUGGGGGAGUGGGGAUCAGCUUUUCUACCCCUCUGUGUCACAAACAAAGACCUUGUCCCUGUUUCAUGGGGCCCCAGAGAGGGUCAUCUUCCCACCCCUGCUUUUGGCAUGGAGGCUAGAAUUUUGUAAGCUCCCACCAUCGGGAACUUCUGUGGACGUGAGUCAAGUGACCUCACCUCAAGAACCCGUAGAUGUGGUGUCAGAAGGAGGCAGGAGGGGACUGGCGACUCCUGGCAGCGCUUCUCAGUUCUGGCCCUCUGUCGUCAUAUUCGUGAAACUUGGCCAGGGCUCCUCUUUACCUGGCGGUUGAGUGGGGACACUGGCACUGUGACUCUAGGGCCACAUUCUUUCCUCCAGGUCCGGACCCGUGCCUUGAGGCUCAGGUGCCCAUUGCAAACUCUGAACACCCACCGAGGGGCCCCCUGACUCUCCUGGCACAGGUCUGCCGGUUGAUGAAGAUAGCUUAGCUGUCACCACAGGCAAAAUCGAGAGAUGAUUCUGGGUCGGGAUUAGCAGGUGUGUAAUGGGGGCAGAAGAGUAUCUGAGGCUGAGCCGAAGGGCCCCCCUAUUUCCUCCUCUCCGCUGCCUCGAACUGUGGGUUAGUACUGUGCACUCUGGGUGAAUGCAGGGUGGGAAGGAUCCCAGGGCGCAGAGAGAGAAAGAGAGAGAGGGACAGACUUCCCAGGGCCACACAGGAUGAUGGCUGAGCUGGAUCAGAACUCUGAAUUCCUGACUCCGUUCACUGCUUCCACUCAGCUAUUGCCAAGCUGAAUUUGUUUUACUUUGUCCUGGGCCCCCUUCUGCUGUUAUUGGGGAACAGAGAGGUUGGUGAGGGCACCCCCCUCAACCCAAGGACAUUCGGGGGUGGGAAGAAGGGAGGUGGUGGGCAGUGUGCCUGGGCCCAGCCUCUCUGGCUCCAGGGGGGCCUUCUUCUUGUUAUCAGAGACUUCUGGCCAUGCCCCCCACCUGGGGAGGGGGCCUGGGUGCAGUUUUCUCCUGCGGCGUGGUUGGCUCUUUUGUCUUCUAGGAUGGGAUCUACCUGGGAAAGUGGCUGGGAGCUGGGCCGGGGCUGCCCACCUGUUGGCUAGGAGCUGCCAGCACGAACGUGGACCAAGCACCUUCUCUGAGCUAGAUCCUGGGGAUCCAGAGGUGAACACCAGAGACACUGUUCCACCCUUGCAGAUCUUCACACGAGAACAUGAUUUAUCACCGUCUCAGCAAGGGAGUGAGCUCCCCGUCCUGGGAGGAGGCUCAGCCUGGCCUGGUCAUCUCUUUGGAGCCCGGGUGACUCGGGACUCUGGCCACGGUGACAUAGGGAGCAGCCUUUGGUGGUUUCCUGGAACUCUGGGAAGACCUCAUCUUUCCCAACUGCUAAGACGGAGCCUCCCAUGGAUAAAGGACCCUCCCGGUUGGCGCUCGGCUGAGGACAUGCCCUGGCUCUGGAGGAGAGCUUGGGGGUGGGUGUGAGGGAGGCUGGGAGCCCCCUGCCCCUCCGUGUCCACCUGGACCCCGCCUGUUGGACCUUACCGUCUGCACCUGGAGGCCAUUUCUUGACUUGGUGCCGACUUGGUCCCCCUUUGCAGCCCUGCUUGUGGCCAGUCCGUGUUCACCUGGGCCACGGCCCCGCCAGCCCCACCCUUAUGAAGGUGGGGUCCCUAAGGACCCUACAGGACGGGGCAGGAACUCAGGGAUGGGAGUCAGGGGGGAGCUACCAGUGGGAAGGAGGGAGACACAGCUUCGUGGCCUCCGUCGGCUCAGAGUCUGCCUUGCGUCGUCUGCUCUUGAGUGAUUCUCAUUUUUGUGGGUGCUUUUUGCAUGAGGCUUUCCUGUGCCUCUGUGCCUCCUGUGCCUGAAGGUCAGAGGGAAGAGGCAGUUGGGGUCCGGGAGGACCCUUCCCCAAGUGUGGUCGAGUUCUGGGGCCCACCUGGAGGGGCAGAAGGUACGCUAUCCUGAAAGGGCAGGGUUUGCCAGAGACCAGGUGGCCCAGGCUGGGGGAGCUCACAAGAGGGAGACAGAUCCAGCCUUGUCCUCCCCAGGCUCAAGGGGUCGGUCACCCCAGUCAGAUCACAGACCCCAGCUCCGUGUUGCACUGAUCCUGGAUUCUGUCCUUGGGGGGCAAGGCAGGCAGGGUGGGCCCCAGGCAUAGGCAGCCUCCUCCUUACACGGCUGCAGGUUCACUUCCCUGCGCACGGCUCCAUUCUCUACCCAGUCCAGCCGCUCCGGGGCGCGGGGUGGGGGUGGUCCAGCGCUUGUCCAAGAGCAGCCCAUGGUCUAACAUAGGCAAGUUUAAAAACUGGGCAUUCCUUUCCUGGGGGGGGAAAGAGAGCCUGCAUUGGUUCGAGCUGCCCUAACAUUUACUACAGCCCCGGGUGGGUGGUGGUGGUGGUGUGCUUAAACAGCAGAAAUGUGUUUUCUCAUAGUUCUGGUGGCUGGGAGUCCAAGAUCAAGGUGUGAGCGGGGGUUGGUUUCUCCCGAGGCCUCUCUCCACAGCUUGCAGAUGGCCACCUUCUUGGCUGUGUCCUCAGACAGCUUUUUCUCUGUGCUCAUGUGUGGGGCUUGGGGGGGGGGUGGUUGGUGAGGAGGAGGGGCAGAUCUGGUGUCUCUUCCUCUUUUUCUAAGGAUGCCAGUCCUGUUGGAUUAGGGUCCCACUCUUAUGGCCUCUUUGAACCUUAAUUUCCUCCGUAAAUGUCCCAUCCCCAAAUAUGGUCUUGUUGGGGGUGAUGGUGGCAACUUAUGAAUCUGUGUGUGUGUGUGGGGGGCACACAACCCAGUCCAUACAGAUGGUCACCACAAGCAUGGAAAGCUGGAGCCAUCUUCCCCCUCGGCAGCCCCACAGCCAUGGGGAGGGCAGAGCAGAGGUGUGGGAAGUAGGGUUGAGUGUGGGAGGCACUGUGCUAGGAUGGUCCGGUCCUGGAGCCUCAGGGAUGGAUUCAGGGAGCUGGCUGGACCAGGGCAGUGAGGAGGAGCCCCAGGAGAAGGAUGUCCUGGGAAGAGCCUGGGCCUUGGAGCCCGGGGGUGUGUCCCCCGCUGUGCAGCCUUGGGCAGGUCACAUCUUCUCUGUGAGUCUGAUGUCAACUCUGGAACAGGAGCCAUGUGCUCCCUUCCGGGGUGGGGCACGGGGAGGAGUCAGUGAGGGCACAUGCCUGCACAGUGCUGGGCCCCUAGCAGGUUGCUCACUUAACACUCCCAUCCCACUGGAAGGUUAGAUUUAGGGCUUAUCUAUUUUCUGUGCUCUGGAACUGCCAACUCGGCAUCUUCUGAUCCAGAGGCUAGUCCUUCCCCUGCCUGUUUUCUUAAUAUCCAUCUCGCAUCAGCUUGGGGAGGUGGCCGUACUUUAUUGCCCCCUGAGUAGCUCCAAAGGCCUCCUGGGCCACCCUCUCAUCAGGAGUGAGCACCUACUGUGGCUCUUUCCUGUGCCGGUCGCUUGCAGUAGGGCUAUAGGUGAAGCUCUGGCUGUGAUUGAAACCUUCAGGAUUGCACGGCUGAGCAAUUGGAACUGGAGAAUUGGAGAAUGCGGCAGAGAACAGUCCACCGAGGCACAGGUUCUGAGUGCUUAGUGGGGUGGGAGUUAGAUUCCAGAAUGACCUGGGUAGGCUUUCCAGCAAGCCUGAACCAGCCAGGGCCUUGAAGGACGAGAAGGAUGUGGCUUAGCUGAUAGCCUCCAGGGCCCUGGAAGAUUUGCCCAAAGUAAGUCCUAGGAGAUGUCAUUGCUCUUAAACAAAAAGGGGAGGUGGUAUUGGUGGAGUUCAAAUUCAACCAGUUCCUGAAAUGCAGGACUUAUCAGAGCCUUUAAAGUGCCAAGGGGAAUUGUGAGUACUCAAGGACAGCCAGGAUUCAGCGUUCUCCCCUUUUAUGGCAACAGAGCCCUUUUCUUAUGGAGCAUCAUUUAGAACUGAGGGGGCAAUCGGGUGGGGCUUCUGUGGGGAAACUGCACAGCAUGGAUAGGAGAUGACCCAGCCGGGCACUCUCAGGGGCUUUGUAGCACCGACUGGAAAGGCAGCAGACCAGGAGGGGCUGGGUGUUGGAACUUGGUUCUAGGAGUCAGGUGAGCUCUAUGCAGUUUUUUUGGGGGGGGGAGGGUAGGAGAGCAGGCCUGCGGUUGGAGUAGCCAGAAGCCUGGCACCUGGUGGAGGAGAUGUCCGCUGGACAUGGUACCUCUGGACUUGAUGCCCUUGGGGCAUCACACCUUUUUUGGGAAGACGCUGCUGUGUGUGUGUGUUGUGUGUGCGUGCACACGCCAGUGUGCCUGAGUGUGACAGGAUCCAGCCUUCUGGGAGGGGGCUGACCAGAACCAGGCAGGGGUUUCCGGCCAGGACCAGCAGGAUCUAUUUUCAGGUUAACCAAACUGUUUCGGCGGGAGGGCCCCUCAGGCCCAGAGCCGAGAAAUUGGGAAACAAAAUGGCCUGGGGCGAGGUCCUCGGGACUCAGGCUCGAUUGGGGGGGUGGUUGAGAAGCGUGGAGGCGGAGCCCCUGCCCUGGUCAGGCCCGGCUCCCUGGCUGGCGGGGCGGGAGGCCUCUGGGGCUGAGCUGAGGGGCCCGGGGCAGUGUUGCAUGGUGUGAUUAACCUACUAACCCAGGGCUCGGCCGGGACGCUGUGGCGUGUGACGAGGUGCCUGGCCUUCUGCCAACCAACUAACCCACUAACCAGGCCCGAGCAUGCCCUACUAACCCCCUGCAGCCAGACCCUACUAACCUUGCAGCUCAUGGGCCUUUCAAGGGGCUGGGACGUGGGGGCAGACGACAACGCUCCAGAAGGCCCUGCCCGUGGCCUGGGAUCUCUGUGCAGACCCACGUUCCAGGACAGGGCACGCAACUAGGACUGUCGCCAGCCCUGCCGCCUCCUGCUGAGCGAUUCUGAGCAGGUCACCCAACCUCUCUGAACCCGUUUCCUGAGCCGCAGAGCGCGACUGUGACCUUCACCUCACAGGCUGCAGCGAGGCUUCCCCUGAAUGUACAGUUCUUGACACAGGACAGAUCCUUAAAAAGAACCUGUAGAUAUCUGGGUGGGAGCGGGGGUGGGGAGCCCAGAAAACGCGAUUGGUCGUGUCCCCUGCCUGGGCCCUGGUCCCUCGGGGUGUUCUGCACACAGACCCUUCUGCCUGGGGCCAGACACUCGCUUUGAACCCUGUGUCUCCCCCACAUUCUUCCUCGUCCCCAGCUUUCUUUUCCGUAGGCAGCUCUUUUGUUCGAUUACUAACCUGUCUAACCCGGGGCUGCCUCAACCGCACCCCGACCCUCCCUUAACCAACUAACGGACCUGCGUGUGUUCUUCCUUUUCUCCUAGUGACUUCUGUGUGUGUCCGCUGAGGUGCCCCCGUCCGCUGGUGCUGUGCUCUCACUUACUAACCCCGCCCCUACUAACCUCGUUUUCUCUUCCCACUAACCCCAGCCCUGCCGAGCUCUGGGCAUCCCUCCUGGCAAGCAGAGUUCCUGGGGCUGGUCCUGCACACAGGGGCCCUCCCCCUCCCCCCCACUUUGCUGCCCCGAUUGGCUGUGGGUUCAGAGCCCAGGGCUGGGUCUGAGGCGGGGGACGGCCCUACUGACCACACCAGGGGCCCAGAGGAGGCGGCGGCGGUGCGGGGGGAGGAGGCCGGCCCCCCCCAGAGCACGAGCAUCUCCUCUGGCGCAAGUCUGGUGGCCCCUGGUUAGGGUGGGGGGUGGGGGGUGAGGGUGGAGGCCGGCGGGGCUAGGGCGGGGAGCACUGGGCUCCCAGCCACGGGGCAGAGAGAGAAGGCGCCUGGGUGCCCUAAUUUGGAGGGAGACGAGGGUGCAAUUCACCGCACCUGAAAGCGGCAGGUGCAGCAGGCACCGCCCCGCACAGGACACGCCCCGGAAGCCAGCCAAGGAGGCGUGGCCCCCGCCGGAAGUCGGUGGGCGGGGCCUCCCUGCGUGGGAAGGGGGCCUCCCGCCCGGGGAUUCGCCGAGUGGGGCGCGCAGCACCGGAAGUCGGCCUGAGGGGCGUGUCUUGCCCCGGAAGUCAGGGAGCGGGCGGGAGGGACGGGCCACAGGUGAGCGCGCAGGGCGCCCCGGUCCCCUGGAGCCGCGCUCCCCCGCCGCGGCGGACGCGGGCCGCUCCUCGCGCCCCAGGUCCGCACCCGGCAGCCGGGCGGGGCAGGGACGGAGGCCGGCCCCAGCUUGCCUUCCCCAGAGCCCGCCAGUCGCUGAGCCAGCCGGGGCCACACCUGGGGGUGACGUCACGCCUCACCUCCAGGAGGCCCCCGGGUCUGUGUGUGGGCUCCCUGCGGCUCCUCUGCACUAACUUGCUCUCCCGCGGCUGCCUCGGGGGCUGCCCGCCUGGGGCCCCAGGCUCCAGGCUCCCGCCCGGCUCCGUGCAGCUUCGCCUCGACUAACCCCUGCCCUCCCGGUCUGUUCCUCGCAGCGGACACUAACGGCUUGUGGAUUUCUCCCUGACUAACAGCAGGUCUAACGCUCCUCGUUACCGCCCCUUUAGCAGCUUGGAUGCCGGCAUGGCUGGGAUGGGGCUAACCCAGCGGAGGCGCCGGGCGCAGGGCGCCGCGGUGCUGCUGCCCGGGCGUCGGCUCCGGUAGAGCUGUCUAGGCAGGCAGGAUGCAGGGGCUCCCGAGGCGGGGCCGGGGCUGGGCUGUGGCCGCGCGCCCGGCAGAGACGUUCCCGCGGCAGGUGGGGUCGGAAGCGGAGACCCCGGGCCCGGGCUUUGGCCUCUGGCCUCAGCCCGUCAGCCUCCAGCAGCCUGCAUUUGGGCUUUGGUUCUCUUAACCUCCUAGCUCCGACCUAGACCCAGCGAACGGGUGGAUGCACCCCUUGUGGACUGGGUGUUUACAGGGGAUGAUUCAUGCAUGGCGUCCUUGGUCACCAGCCCAGGGCCUAGAGUCCUUGAUUUGGGGAAGGCCCAGGACGGAGAGCUUUGGAUCUGAAUGUUCACAAGGGUUCAGAUGCCAUCCCCCGUUUACAUCGUAGUGCAAAUUAGCUCAGCUUCCUCGUCUUUCUUUCAUGCAGUGCAGCUGCACCGUGGCCGGAAGGGAGUUUGGAUUGCUUCAGGCCUAGGUGGGGUGGGGGGCUCCUCUGGGAGCAGACAAGGGGAGCCCUGGGGCCAGGGGAUCCUGGGUGGGCAUAAAAGGUACCGUCAGGUCGAGAUGGGGAUGGCAAGAGGGACCGUUUUGCUGGCCCAGUCUGGUAGUCCUGUGGGAGAGAGUGGUUGGUGGCAGGGCUUGGAGGAUUGGAUCCGCUCCGGGACAGGGUCAGAGGCUGGCCUGGAGACUUGCAGGCAGGUUGCUUGGGUGGGUCGGUGAGCGCUGGUCUGGGGCCAAGAGCUCUGGCAGCCACGGGCAUGGAGCAAAUCUAGUGGGGCUGGUAGGGGAGCCGCCUGGGUGUGACCCAGCGGUACCAGUGGAUGGAGCUCAGCUGAGGGGUGAGGGAGCUCUCUGCCGCUCUCCAGUGGCCGCCUCACCCAUUUCACUCGAAGCGGGAAGCUCAGGCACUUGGCAUUCCUGGAAAUUCUCUUUAUUCAACUACAAAGAUCUGGUGUUGCUGAGGACCAGCUCUGGGUGCUGGGACCCACCUACGGGCCCUUCCAUCAGGUGCUCGCUUAGCUCAGUGGGGGAGGUAGAGAAGUUAACGUGUAAUGCAGUGAGAUGGAUGCUGUGCCAGGGCUGGGGAAGCACCCAGGAGGUGGGCAAGGAUGCUACGCACCUAGUCCACGCAAGGCGCGGUGCUCCCCUGCCAGGGGAGUACUCUUCAGGGUAUUUCAGGCUGGUGUAUCAGGUGGGUGCGGGGUAGAGUGGAGUGUGGGCAGUCAGGGCAGGCUUUCUAAAGAGGGAGACACCUAUGCUGAGCCCUGGUCGGGUGUGGCAGGGAUGAGUUCUGGGUAGUAGGAACGGCAGACACCAGGUUCUGGGCAUCAGAGGGUUGAAGAGGUUCUGGAAGGUUCACGGGGAAUGUAGCAGGAGACAGAUGGGAAAUGGACAAGCACCAGGCCACAUUGCCAGGGACUUUGAGGUUUGUCUGAGGGUAGUGGGGAGCUACAGAUGUAACCUGAGGAGGGGGGCGUUGGAUUUGAGUUUCAGACUGACAGUUUGGCUAUUUCAGCCCAGAUGGAAUUUGAAGCUUAUAAUGAGUUCUGGUCAAUUUUAGAUAAUAAGAACUUAUAGCUCGGGGACCCUUAGAUCCACUGUGAGAUAAACAGGGUCCCUUAACCUUUGGACCAGCUGGAGCUAGUGCUGCAGUGACUGGGAAGUCCGGCAGGGGCUAAGCUGGGGUGACAGGGAUGCCUCCGAGAAGGAGCAACCCUAAACAUGUGUCACCCCAGCCCCUGGUGGUAUGUAGCUCCUGGAGAGGUUCUGAGGGGAUGUGCUCAUGGGCUGAAAGUCUACAGGAGAAUUGUCCUGUCUUGUCCUGUGUGGUUGCAAGGGGGACAUGUGUGUGUGAAGUAACCUUCUGAGAGGCUGAUCCUGGGGUCAUGGUGGGUGACAACCUUUCUGGAGGCAGAAGGAUAGGGACUAGCCCCCUUUAGAGAGAUGGUGCUGGUGAGAGUCCAGGAUUCUGCAUGCGAAUGUGCACGUGAGUGCUUGUGUGCACACAUGUGUGUCCUUGACUUCAUACCAAAGGAAGCCAAUCCCAAGUAGGUGCAGUCUGUUUACCCCCCGCCACCACCCUCC